rnacentral:rRNA from 1 species
AAAUUGAAGAGUUUGAUCAUGGCUCAGAUUGAACGCUGGCGGCAGGCCUAACACAUGCAAGUCGAGCGGUAGCACAGAAGAGCUUGCUCUUCGGGUGACGAGCGGCGGACGGGUGAGUAAUGUCUGGGAAACUGCCUGAUGGAGGGGGAUAACUACUGGAAACGGUAGCUAAUACCGCAUAACGUCUUCGGACCAAAGAGGGGGACCUUCGGGCCUCUUGCCAUCGGAUGUGCCCAGAUGGGAUUAGCUAGUAGGUGAGGUAAUGGCUCACCUAGGCGACGAUCCCUAGCUGGUCUGAGAGGAUGACCAGCCACACUGGAACUGAGACACGGUCCAGACUCCUACGGGAGGCAGCAGUGGGGAAUAUUGCACAAUGGGCGCAAGCCUGAUGCAGCCAUGCCGCGUGUGUGAAGAAGGCCUUCGGGUUGUAAAGCACUUUCAGCGGGGAGGAAGGCGGCAAGGUUAAUAACCUUGUCGAUUGACGUUACCCGCAGAAGAAGCACCGGCUAACUCCGUGCCAGCAGCCGCGGUAAUACGGAGGGUGCAAGCGUUAAUCGGAAUGACUGGGCGUAAAGCGCACGCAGGCGGUCUGUUAAGUUGGAUGUGAAAUCCCCGGGCUUAACCUGGGAACUGCAUUCAAAACUGACAGGCUAGAGUCUUGUAGAGGGGGGUAGAAUUCCAGGUGUAGCGGUGAAAUGCGUAGAGAUCUGGAGGAAUACCGGUGGCGAAGGCGGCCCCCUGGACAAAGACUGACGCUCAGGUGCGAAAGCGUGGGGAGCAAACAGGAUUAGAUACCCUGGUAGUCCACGCUGUAAACGAUGUCGACUUGGAGGUUGUGCCCUUGAGGCGUGGCUUCCGGAGCUAACGCGUUAAGUCGACCGCCUGGGGAGUACGGCCGCAAGGUUAAAACUCAAAUGAAUUGACGGGGGCCCGCACAAGCGGUGGAGCAUGUGGUUUAAUUCGAUGCAACGCGAAGAACCUUACCUACUCUUGACAUCCACAGAAUUUGGUAGAGAUACCUUAGUGCCUUCGGGAACUGUGAGACAGGUGCUGCAUGGCUGUCGUCAGCUCGUGUUGUGAAAUGUUGGGUUAAGUCCCGCAACGAGCGCAACCCUUAUCCUUUGUUGCCAGCACGUAAUGGUGGGAACUCAAAGGAGACUGCCGGUGAUAAACCGGAGGAAGGUGGGGAUGACGUCAAGUCAUCAUGGCCCUUACGAGUAGGGCUACACACGUGCUACAAUGGCGUAUACAAAGAGAAGCGACCUCGCGAGAGCAAGCGGACCUCAUAAAGUACGUCGUAGUCCGGAUUGGAGUCUGCAACUCGACUCCAUGAAGUCGGAAUCGCUAGUAAUCGUAGAUCAGAAUGCUACGGUGAAUACGUUCCCGGGCCUUGUACACACCGCCCGUCACACCAUGGGAGUGGGUUGCAAAAGAAGUAGGUAGCUUAACCUUCGGGAGGGCGCUUACCACUUUGUGAUUCAUGACUGGGGUGAAGUCGUAACAAGGUAACCGUAGGGGAACCUGCGGUUGGAUCACCUCCUUA